rnacentral:rRNA from 1 species
GAUGAACGCUGGCGGCGUGCCUAAUACAUGCAAGUCGAGCGAACGGACGAGAAGCUUGCUUCUCUGAUGUUAGCGGCGGACGGGUGAGUAACACGUGGAUAACCUACCUAUAAGACUGGGAUAACUUCGGGAAACCGGAGCUAAUACCGGAUAAUAUUUUGAACCGCAUGGUUCAAAAGUGAAAGACGGUCUUGCUGUCACUUAUAGAUGGAUCCGCGCUGCAUUAGCUAGUUGGUAAGGUAACGGCUUACCAAGGCAACGAUGCAUAGCCGACCUGAGAGGGUGAUCGGCCACACUGGAACUGAGACACGGUCCAGACUCCUACGGGAGGCAGCAGUAGGGAAUCUUCCGCAAAGGGCGAAAGCCUGACGGAGCAACGCCGCGUGAGUGAUGAAGGUCUUCGGAUCGUAAAACUCUGUUAUUAUGGAAGAACAUAUGUGUAAGUAACUGUGCACAUCUUGACGGUACCUAAUCAGAAAGCCACGGCUAACUACGUG